UGGAGUGGCAUCUUCCUCAUCGUGUUUCAAAGCAGUUCGGGGUACAACAACGCACCCCGCCGGAUUACGUCGAGACAAGUGUGAAGCUACAUAAGACAAACCGGCAAAGCAAUAAGACUGUCAUCAAUUGGGAGGAGCACCACAUUACUUGGGUGGACAUGUGGAAUGCUCAGAGACAACAUCGAGUUGAAAAUGAUGAAACACCAGACACUGACGAGGCGGCAUACUUAAGGCAUUUGGAGUGGAUGCGUACAGAGUACAGAGUUAUCCAUAAGGCUGCCUGGACUCGUUCCGAUUGCUUGGACUUACUGCCGAGUGAGGCUGCUGAUGCUGCAUUCAACAAUUCAAUUAGGGAGACAGUUGGAGCGCAUCUUGACUAUGGUCCUCUCCAUGACCGAGUGGGCACGGAGCUAUGGAGAUGUAUCAACGAGAGUAACGUGGUCCUUGCCCGUGCCCCAUGUCCACAAACGGAC